CGGAUUUGGAGGGAAUGACACGCGGCAGCAAAGCGGGAAAAGAAAAUGGAGUUUUAACGCUGAGCUGUAACCGCCAGGCGCAGUUUUCACCGUGGAACUGAAGGGACAAGGACUGUGGAGAACUGUGCUAAGUAGCACGGUAACUACGCCUGUGUAAGAAGGGACUCUACCGCCGAACCUGCAUCGCUGAAUCGACUAUUACCUGCUGGACUCUGCAGCGGAUUUAUUCACACAGCUCGUUUCCAAGUCAGAUAAUUCUUCUCUUCGAUCGGCGUGUUGGGGAAGAAAAGGUAGUAUCUGGUAUGUAUCAAUGUACUGUUUUAAGUAUUUUAGAGUAUUUUUUAAAGUUUAUGUUUUAAGUAUUUAAGUAUUGUAAAUAGUAUUUAGUUCGUAUCAAUGUCCUUUUUUUUUUUUUUUUUUUUUUUUAAAGUAAG
ensembl:lncRNA